AUUUAAAAGAUAAUACAGUUUUUACAUUUUGGAGUAAAUUAAGGUCAGUAUUGCAUCCUACAAAGAAAAGGUGUUUUUUCUUCUCCCUGCUGGAUGUAGUUACGUGCCCUGGAGUUAGGUCUCUUACUAUUAGGUAAAUUUGUUCAAAUAACUUCGUUUCAUAAACCCAAGCUGGGCAUUAUACUGUGAAGAUUAUUGUUCAUUUGGCUGUGGCCUCUCCAUUGCCCCUCCUACAGACUAGAGAUGAGCCGAGGUCAAAAGCUGCCCAUCUAUAGUAGUAGUAGUAGUAGGCCUAUAUUAAAUUAAAUACAACUUUCACACAGAAAUCAAACAAAGGCUUUUUCUGCUAGUCAAGAGGAUAAAUUAUUUUUUUCCAGUCCAAAGAAGAUUAUAUGGUAUGAAGCAUUUACUGAGACUGAGAGUUUGGGGAUCAACGUGAGGAGGUGAAUACUUUCCCCUGUGACAUGUGACGCAAAACUUUGUCUCCAAUUUUAAAAUCAAUAUAUAUAUAAAUAUAUGUUAUCAUUGAUAUUAUAUUGUUUACUUUUCAAAAGAUGUAGGCCCUACCAUUGCUGUUGUUUUUUUGUGCUAUUUACUCAAGAGUCAGACACAUGAAAUAAACAAACAAAGUAUUGUUUCUAAAGGCAGUUUUUUCAUCAUUGUCAUUAUCCUCAUUACUGUUGCUAUUACUAUUAUCUUGAUGAUAGUUACUGUUGUUACCAAGUGGAGUGCUGGACAUCUGUGGUUGUUGAAAUAUUUUGAUCUAAAUUAUGUAUGUAGGUAUGUAAAAACACCCACAGUUAACAGACAAAAAGUGGAAAUGUUUCUUGAGGCGCUCUUUGGUGUUGCUAUGCUCUAUCCAUGUAAUUGGUUUCUGGAAAAUUUGUUCACGCUUUAAAAAAGAAAAACCCUUUUGAUUUAAAUGUUGAAAAAUGACCCAGAAAGAAUGAAAUUACUGAUGUGUUACACCCUUAUUUUAUUGGCACAAUUCAGAUCCUAUACGAGAUGGGCUGCUUUAAUUGAACCCUGCCUGUCAGUGUUAGGGCCAACCCGGGCUGAGAGGGAUACAACAUCUCACCAUAAGAUGGGGAUACAACAUCUCACCAUAAGAUGGGGAUACAACAUCUCACCAUAAGAUGGGGAUACAUAAGAUGAAAAAAUCUCCUCAUGUGGGAACUGAACAGGAAAAUUGAAAUUAUAAACUAUGAAAGUUUAAAAAAAACUGAUAUUAUUAAAAUAUUUGAAUUAAUAAAGAUAUGGCUGAAAAAGCUUUUUAUCUAUUUUUCUUUUUAAGAAUAUUUGCACAGUGUACAGUGUAAGGAUUAGUUUGCGCUGAUUAUUGCGACGAAGCUUGGAACUUCUCUCAUCUUCCGAGCAAAAGCUAAAUGAGAAUUGUCAAGUGAGCGUCAUGCCGCUGUGUUGGCUACGUAAAAUAGUAGAUCUAUGUAUGGGUAUUUGGAAUUUUAUGAUUUUUUUCUUUAAAAAUUUCUUUUUUUUUACUUACACCCUGUUGACGCAAUUGAGAUCUUUUAGGGGAGGCGGGAUUCUGACCCUGUCUGUCACCGCCAAACCUGAGCUGGCUGAGAGGUUUGUUUGAUACAAGUCUUACCACGCUCUCAAUAGGCUGAGAGGUUUGUUUGAUACAAGUCUUACCACGCUCACAACGGGCUGAGAGAGAUACAGCAUUCCAACAGACUGACUGAGAUACUCAAUGAAAAUAUCUCCCCACUCGGGAAUUGAACUUGGGUCUCUUGUGUGCGAUAGCGAAGUGCCUGACAGACUGAUACACCACCGACGCUGAAGACUGAAUGCAUUAUCGUAUGUUCUGCUCUUUUUCAUUUUACAUAAAAAGGGUUUCCUUUUUCUCAUUGUGUGUCUAACAGCAAUGGGUAAUUUUUUUUUUCAAAUAAAAAAUGUCUUUUAAAAAAAGAUUUUAUCCGUGUAUGCAUAUUUUGAAGUCCGAAGAAUUGCAUACACAGCGAUGUUUAUUAUGAUAAUUUAUUAAUGUCAUGCAAAAGAGCUCUUCUUUGUCUUUAAUUUGAUGUAUGCAAUGUGAAUCUAUGCAUCACAGGUGAAUUUUUGUGACAUUUCAAGCUGAUGACAUUUUGUCGUUUUUGCCUUCCCGAGGCAAUUAUGUGAAAUUGGCUUCUGGGCCAGUUUUGAUGCCAUAUUUAGUUCAUUUUGAAUCAUUAAAUGACUUUUUAAAACUUUUUUUUGGAAAAAUGACUGUAAUAUAUUAUAUGCAAUGCACUAAUGACUUUCGACUGAAGAAGUUUGGCUGGUAUUGCAAAGUUCUUUUAUGUGUGAGCUGUCUCUGAAAAAUGGAGUGGUUUUUUUCAUAUAUUGUACGUUUUCCACAAAAAUAAUAUCAUAAAUGUGAGACAUCUUGGGGAAAUCAAGCGCUCGUGAAAAUAAUAAAAUCAAAGAUAUCGGG
rnacentral:lncRNA from 1 species